UGCCAACUAAUUUCUGCAUGAUCAUUAAAUUAGCAUAAUCCAACAAAUCCGACUAAAUGUUCUUACGCCAGUCUGUCUCCGCCAAGAGUAAGAUGUCCCGGAGCUGUCGCCGAAGGCUUUCAUUUUCUCUCUUAGCGCUUUCAUUCUCUCUCUUCGUCCUAGCCGUCUCUUCUCGGUACUCGGCCACUGUGUCCCCGACCACGUCCAGAAUCUCCCGCACCACUACCGUUAAACGUUCUGUCAGGCGGUGGCUCUCCUGGGAAAAUGCAGGGCUUUGUCGGGAGACGAAGAGGUGCGUGACCCUCUGGACUGGACUGCCCACUGCCGUCCUCCAUGCAGGAGAGGAGAUGCCGAUUGUGUGGGAGAGGCUGCAGUCCCUGAAUCGGAUUUAUUGAUUCGAUAACUCAGUCAGAUUUAACGAUGAGAUAGUUCAGCCAGAGAAGAAAAUGAAAUCCCUGAAGGUUAACUGUAACCCUCUCUAAAUGUCUCCUUUCUUUGUCUCUCUCCCUCUCUCUCCUCGCUCCUUCUCUCUUAGAAGAUCUCAAUUACAUUACUCCUCGUGUCCUCUCUCCUCGUCUCCUUCUCAAACCCCAUUGGAGGAGAAGGUCAGAGGGGCGGGACCUUUUGCUUUCUCAUCCAGUUGGUUUUGAGAAGGAGACAAGAGAAGAGUAUGCAAUUGAGAUAUUCCCAUAGUCUCUCUCACUUCCUCUCUUUCUUUCUCUUAUUGUUGGAAAAGGGGUAGAAAAUAUGUUAUUAUCUUAUAUAUAUAUGAUCUUGUACAGAAUAAAUCUUAUGGUUAAAGGUUGAGUUAGAAUGUUUGCAGGUGAGUAAUUAAGUGUUUAGCUGUAGAGUUGAGAACUAUUGGAUAAUAUGAUUUUGGCCUGAGUUGAAGGUUUUCGACUGUCUUGACUGUUUGUUUUCUGGGGCCAGUGUGGUAUCAUGUAUAGCCACUGUGAACCCCCCCCCCACACACACACACACCAAGUAGGAAACUGUGAAAUAAA
ensembl:lncRNA